rnacentral:rRNA from 1 species
AUUGAACGCUGGCGGCAUGCUUUACACAUGCAAGUCGAACGGUAGGGUAGCAAUACCCGAGAGUGGCGAACGGGUGAGUAAUGUAUCGGAACGUGCCCAAGAGUGGGGGAUAGCCCGGCGAAAGCCGGAUUAAUACCGCAUACGAUCUAUGGAUGAAAACGGGGGACCGCAAGGCCUCGUGCUCCUGGAGCGGCCGAUAUCAGAUUAGGUAGUUGGUGGGGUAAAGGCUCACCAAGCCAACGAUCUGUAGCUGGUUUGAGAGAACGACCAGCCACACUGGGACUGAGACACGGCCCAGACUCCUACGGGAGGCAGCAGUGGGGAAUUUUGGACAAUGGGCGCAAGCCUGAUCCAGCAAUGCCGCGUGCAGGAUGAAGGCCUUCGGGUUGUAAACUGCUUUUGUACGGAGCGAAAAGGCUUCUUCUAAUACAGGAGGCUCAUGACGGUACCGUAAGAAUAAGCACCGGCUAACUACGUGCCAGCCGCCGCCGUAA